rnacentral:rRNA from 1 species
UACGGGAGGCAGCAGUGGGGAAUAUUGCACAAUGGGCGCAAGCCUGAUGCAGCCAUGCCGCGUGUAUGAAGAAGGCCUUCGGGUUGUAAAGUACUUUCAGUCGUGAGGAAGGUGUUAAGGUUAAUAACCUUAGCAAUUGACGUUAGCGACAGAAGAAGCACCGGCUAACUCCGUGCCAGCAGCCGCGGUAAUACAGAGGGUGCGAGCGUUAAUCGGAUUUACUGGGCGUAAAGCGUGCGUAGGCGGCUGAUUAAGUCGGAUGUGAAAUCCCUGAGCUUAACUUAGGAAUUGCAUUCGAUACUGGUCAGCUAGAGUAUGGGAGAGGAUGGUAGAAUUCCAGGUGUAGCGGUGAAAUGCGUAGAGAUCUGGAGGAAUACCGAUGGGCGAAGGGCAGCCAUCUGGGCCUAAUACUGACGCUGAGUCGAAAGCAUGGGGA